rnacentral:sRNA from 1 species
AUGUCCGCAUUAAUGGAGUUGCUCCUGGCGUGACCGAUACUCCAGCAACUAGAGAAAAGAUAGACUUGCAAAAGGAAAGUAUUAACAUCCCAUUGUAGUAGCAGAUUAAUACGCCUGAGGAGGUCGCCACUUCCAUGAUCUACCUGGCAUCAGA